ensembl:lncRNA
GUGAGAUGUACAGGUUCCUUGUUUUUGAGUCAGAUACAACACAGACACACCUGAGCGAGGAUGUCCAAUCUCUUUUUCACACUUUCUUUCCAUCAUUUUAAGGUGAAACAACAGUGACAGUCCAUUCCACCCCCCUCCUCGGCAGCGGCGCCACGGACUACACCUCCGUCACAGUGUUGUUCUGUGUUCAUCUGCAACCCAGACUACAAAUCUCUCUCGUCCUGGCAUAGACUUUUCCAGGGAGGGGUGUGAUCCCCGUAUAGUUGAAACACACCCUCUGGUCCCCCUUCUUAAAGAUGGGAAUCACCACCCCUGUCUGCCAAUCCAGAGGUACUGCCCGUGAUCUCUCCGCAACACUGCAGAGAAGUGUUAACCAAGAAAGCCCUCAGGGCGGACCUCAUCCACCCCAGAGCCUCUGCCACCAAGGAGUUAUUUAACUGCCUCAGUCACCUCAACCCACAGCAUGUCUUUAUCUUGUUUUCCUUCUCUCACCCCAACCGGUCACAGCAGAUGGCCGCCCCUCCCUGAGCCUGGCUCUGCCGGAGGUUUCUUCCUGUUAAAAGGGAGUUUUUCCUUCCCACUGUCGCCAAAGUGCUUGCUCAUAGGGGGGUCAUAUGAUUGUUGGGUUUUUCUCUGUAUCUAUUAUUGUACGAUCUACUGUACAGUAUAAAGCACCUUGAGGCGACUGUUGUUGUGAUUUGGUGCUAUAUAAAUAAAAUUGAAUUGAAUUGAAUUGAACCCAGAGAUAGGUGAGCUGUCCUCUAGCCGUCCACAGGGGAUUAAGGAGGUCCUCGACGUAUUCCUUCUAUCAGGGCCUCAGUGCCUGCCCGCUGCGCGGCACACAAUGCACCCAACCCCUACGGCGCCUCCUGCAGGUGGUGGGCCAGCAGGAGGAUGGGCCUAUGUCCCUUUUCUGGGCUGUGCCUGGCCGGGCCCCAUGGACUAAGCCCUGGCCACCAAAAGCUCACCCUCGGGCAGCCUCCCCACUGUCCCUGAUCCCUGGGACACACAAACCCCUCCAAAAUGAUAAGGUAGUGAUUUGCGGAGUGGUGCUGUAUGUAAUGUGUAAUUUUAAAUGUAAUAAAUGUCAUUUUUACCUUCCAGUGUAAAGCACCUUGAGGUGGCUGUUGUUGUGAUUCAGAGCUAUAUGAAUAAAACUGAAUCGAUUUUGCAAAUCUUCUUUUGACUGAUUUAUGAAAUAUUCCAACAAAGUAUAAUAAAAUAUUACUGAAAUGUUUUACUUCACAGGAAAGUUUACUGUUACAGAUUUAUUGAGACCAUCUAGUGUAUGUGAGUUCCAUUUAUACUCUUUGCAUGGUAACUGUGAGGUGUUUGUGCCGCAGACUGAACCUGGACCAAGAGACUAAGAAUCAGGCCAACAGCUUCUCAGCUGAAGGAUGCAGAGAGGACACUUUCCAUCAGGACAAACCAGGAUCAGAGAACCCGUGACACUCAUCUCUCUUUGAAACUAUGGCCGCUGCAGAUCCCUCAGCUGACUCUGAACUCGAGUAUUUAUGUUUAGCUCAUCUGAACAUAUGUGGUCUUAGGAAUAAGCAUCCUGACGUUGAGAAAAUAUUAACAGAUUCUAACAUUCAUGUGCUGGCGUUAACUGAAACUCAUUUAGACAACAGUGUUAAAAACUCUGAACUACAUAUAGAGAAAUUCAGGUUUUACAGGAAGGAUAGAAACAGUAAUGGAGGUGGUGUCUGUUUCUAUAUUCACGAUCACAUGACAGUUAUUCAGCGGUAUGACUUGGAUCACAAAGAUCUCGAGAUGAUCUGGGUUGAGAUUUACCUUCCAGAUACCAGACCAGUGUUAGUGGGAUGUUGUUACAGACCAUCAGGCAGCAAAAUAGAUUAUUUAAUUAAAAUCUGCAGAAAAAUAGAAAUGGUGUCAAAUGAAGACAAAGACAUUUUCCUUCUGGGAGACUUUAACUUUGACUGGUCGAAAGAGUCUACAAAAAAGACAAGGAUUGAUUUUGUCUCCUCUGUGUGUGGACUGACCCAGAUCGUAAAAAAGCCUGCCAGGGCGCACGUGACAAAUUCACGAUCCACAUCAAAAUAUAUUGAUCACAUCUACACAAAUAUUCCAGCGCUCUGCUCAGAACCAGACGGUCACCAAGUUAAAUCAAUCAGUAAUCAUAAGCUCAUCACUGCCACUGUACGAAGAAGAGUCCCCAGAAGCAGAAACUCAGAAACAGAUCCCCUCAGUGAACCCUUAAAGUCUCCUCCUGUUCUUUCUGAAGUGUCUCCAUCAGAGUUUCUUAUUAAAAAGAAGAUCAUGGAAAACAAACACUGUUCUCUUGAGUUUAGGAAAGUUGAGGAUAAGGAAGUUGAGAGGUUGAUGUCCGACGUUGAUGCUUAUGUUCUACAAGCUGCAGCUCCAUCCAUCUCUGCUCCCAUAUGUCACAUCCUGAACUCGUGCAUCCACCGCGGCAAGUUCCCAUCAGAGAAUCUUGAGAGCUGCGUAUUCCGUCCUGAUCCGAUCCUGGAGAAAGUACUCCUCCAGCAGAUGCAGGGAUACUUUUAUAACAAUGAACUUUUCACUCAUCAUCAAACUCUUGGUGACAUAACUGAUCAUUGGCUCACAGAACUGAAAAAAAAAAGAAAAGUUGGAGUUGUAUUCAUAGAUUUCAGUUCGUCCUCUGAUGUCAUCAGUCCUAAUCUGCUGCUUCCCAAACUGAAGUCUUACCAUUUCUCAGAUUCGGCCAUUUCUAUAAUGAGAAGUUUUCUCUCUGAUGGAAACAGCUGCUCAUGUCGCUGGACAGACACUCACUGUGAGAUGCCACGAGGAAGCUGCAUGACUCACUUCCUGUUCUCUGUUUAUACAAACGAUCUGAAAGUUGCUUUAAAAAGUGCUCAUGUUGUUGUGAGUAACAGUAAGCUGAUGAUGUAUCACUCAGAAAAAAAGCACCAGGAUUUACAGGAAUUGUUGAGAGAUGAAUCAGAAAUUGUGCGUGGCUGGCUCAGAGAAAACAGCAUGGUUUUAAAGACGUUCACAUCAACAGUAAUCAGAACCACGACGCAGGUGAAGAAAAUACAAACACUCCUCAGAGCCACACUCAGUGUAAAUGUGCAAGAGUUUAACUGGAUCGGAAUAUUAGGAGUUUUACUGCACGAUGCUCCUCAUCUGGUUUGGACAUCUUAAUGAAAUCUUUCUGAAAGAAAAGCUUUGGUUUGAAAAGGAAGUGCUGUACAGUUUGCUCCUCCCCCUUUUCAAUGUAAAUAUUUAUUCUCUCAUUUGAGUCUCUUCAGAAGUGGAGAAUUUUGUACUCUACCAGUCUGCACCCUGGAAGUCUGUCUGGUGAGAUAUUUCAUUAUAGAGGUGAUUUAUUAGAUUAUUAAGAAUGAGAAAAUAUUGAAAGGUUGUUGACUUUCGAAGCCAGUGUGUUUUAACUACUCUCUUCAUAUUUUAAUGGUCAUUUUAUCACUUAAUGUGCUUUUCUGUGGUUACAUAAUUUUAUCACUUUCUUUAUUUGUGCGCUUCGAAGAAGCAGUGACCAGCAGAGUGUGUGUGUGUGUGUGUGUGUGUGUGUGUGUGUGUGUGUGUGUGUGUGUGUGUGUGUGUGUGCACAGAGAAUGAAAUAAAAUAGGAAAAUGAACAUUUUGGGAUGGAUGUGAUUUUUACUGCAGUAGUCUGUUAGGGUCAGGGGUCACUGCCUCUGUUGAAUCAUGUUCCUUGUUUUUGUAAAAAAAAAUAUAUGUGCUCAUAAAAAAUAAAAAAAAAACAAC